UAGUAUACUUAGGAAUAUGCCUUUGCGUGGGGGAUAACUAUUGGAAACGAUAGCUAAUACCGCAUAAUGUCUUCGGACCAAAGGGGGCUUCGGCUCCCGCGCAAAGAGUAGCCUAAGCGAGAUUAGCUUGUUGGUGGGGUAAAGGCUCACCAAGGCGACGAUCUCUAGCUGUUCUGAGAGGAAGAUCAGCCACACUGGAACUGAGACACGGUCCAGACUCCUACGGGAGGCAGCAGUGGGGAAUAUUGCACAAUGGGCGCAAGCCUGAUGCAGCCAUGCCGCGUGUGUGAAGAAGGCCUUCGGGUUGUAAAGCACUUUCAGUUGUGAGGAAAGGUUAACGGUUAAUACCCGUUAGCUGUGACGUUAGCAACAGAAGAAGGACCGGCUAACUCCGUGCCAGCAGCCGCGGUAAUACGGAGGGUCCGAGCGUUAAUCGGGAAUUACUGGGCGUAAAGCGCACGCAGGCGGUUUGUUAAGCUAGAUGUGAAAGCCCUGGGCUCAACCUGGGGAAUUGCAUUUUAGAACUGGGCAGGCUAGAAGUUUU
rnacentral:rRNA from 1 species